ACGGGGUGCAGCAGGCGCGAAAACUUUACAAUGCGGGAAACCGUGAUAAGGGGAUCUCGAGUGCCAGCAUAUAAUGUUGGCUGUCCAGAUGCCUAAAAAGCAUCUGUUAGCAAGGGCCGGGCAAGACCGGUGCCAGCCGCCGCGGUAACACCGGCGGCCCGAGUGGUAACCGCUAUUAUUGGGUCUAAAGGGUCUGUAGCCGGCCAGGUAAGUCCCUUGGGAAAUCUGGCAGCUCAACUGUCAGGCUGCUAGGGGAUACUGUUUGGCUUGGGACCGGGAGAGGUGAGAGGUACCUUGGGGGUAGGGGUGAAAUCUUGUGAUCCUCGAGGGACCACCAGUGGCGAAGGCGUCUCGCCAGAACGGGUCCGACGGUAAGGGACGAAAGCUAGGGGCACGAACCGGAUUAGAUACCCGGGUAGUCCUAGCCGUAAACGAUGCUCGCUAGGUGUCAGUCACGGUGCGACCGUGAUUGGUGCCGUAGGGAAGCCGUGAAGCGAGCCACCUGGGAAGUAUGGCCGCAAGGCUGAAACUUAAAGGAAUUGGCGGGGGAGCACUACAACGGGUGGAGCCUGCGGUUUAAUUGGAUUCAACGCCGGAAAUCUCACCGGGGGCGACAGCGAUAUGAAGGUCAGGCUGAAGACUUUACCGGAUUAGCUGAGAGGUGGUGCAUGGCCGUCGUCAGUUCGUACUGUGAAGCAUCCUGUUAAGUCAGGCAACGAGCGAGACCCA
rnacentral:rRNA from 1 species